UACGAAGGGGGCUAGCGUUGCUCGGAUUGACUGGGCGUAAAGGGCGCGUAGGCGGUUCGUACAGUCAGACGUGAAAUUCCUGGGCUCAACCUGGGGGCUGCGUUUGAUACGUGCGGACUUGAGUGCGGAAGAGGGUCGUGGAAUUCCCAGUGUAGAGGUGAAAUUCGUAGAUAUUGGGAAGAACACCGGUGGCAGAGGCGGCGACCUGGUCCGAUACUGACGCUGAGGUGCGAAAGCGUGGGGAGCAAACAGG
rnacentral:rRNA from 1 species